UUGGUUGUAUAGUUUCGCUAUCGAAAGAAACGGAAGCAUUUUCAAAUCUUGAAUCGUUAUACUUGAGUGCGUAACAUGCAUCGGAGGACCGAACCAGGAAACGUUGAAAUGUUUUUGGAUGACUUGUGUUAAGGGGUGAAAGGCCAACCAAAUUCCGCUAUAGCUAGUUCUCCGCGAAAACUAUUUAGGUAGUGCGUUGUGUGAAUGAUAUCGGGGGUAAAGCACUGGAUGGGCUAGGGGGAAGCGAUUCCUACCAAACCUAACCAAACUCUGAAUACCGAUACUCUAUGCACAGCAGACAGACUAUAGGUGCUAAGGUCUAUAGUCGAGAGGGAAACAGCCCAGAUCACCAGUUAAGGCCCCCAAAUAAUGGCUAAGUGGGAAAGUAUGUAGAAAGUCCAAGACAGGCAGGAGGUUGGCUUAGAAGCAGCCAUCCUUUAAAGAUAGCGUAACAGCUCACUGUUCUAAUUAAGACUUUCCGCGACGAAGAUGUAACGGGGCUCAAGCCAUUUGCCGAAACUGUGACUUUGUAAUUAUUGCGAUAAUUACAAGGGGUAGCGGAGCGUUCUGUAAGCCGUCGAAGGUUUUUCGAAAGAAAUGCUGGAGGUAUCAGAAGUGCGAAUGCUGACAUGAGUAGCGAUAAAGAGUGUGAGAGACACUCUCGCCGAAAUCCUAAGGUUUCCUGCGUAAAGUUAAUCUGCGCAGGGUUAGUCGACCCCUAAGGCGAGGCAGAAAUGCGUAGUCGAUGGGAAACAGGUUAAUAUUCCUGUACCUUCUGUGAGUUGACGGAUCAUGUAAAUUGUAUUUUCUUAUUGGAUUGAAAAUGCUGUGAAAUGGUUCCUGGAAAUAGCCUCAGAAUAUAGAUCGUACCUAAACCGACACAGGUAGGAAGGUAGAGUAUACCAAGGCGCUUGAGAGAAUGAUGUUGAAGGAACUCGGCAAAAUGCCCUUGUAACUUCGGAAUAAAAGGGACCAAUUUUUAGGCAACUAUAGAUUGGUGGCACAGAAUAGGGAGAAGCGACUGUUUAUCAAAAACACAGGUCUCUGCUAAGUCGUAAGACGAUGUAUAGGGACUGACGCCUGCCCGGUGCCGGAAGGUUAAAUGGUGGAGUGCAAGCUCUAAAAUGAAGCCCCGGUGAACGGCGGCCGUAACUAUAACGGUCCUAAGGUAGCGAAAUUCCUUGUCGGGUAAGUUCCGACCUGCAUGAAUGGCGUAACGAUUUCUCCGCUGUCUCCAACAUCAACUCAGCGAAAUUGAAUUCUCCGUGAAGAUGCGGAGUACGUGUAGUUAGACGGAAAGACCCCGUGCACCUUUACUAUAGCUUUACAGUGGUAUUAGGAAAAUAAUGUGUAGGCUAGGUGGUAGACUUUGAAGCAGGAGCGCUAGCUUUUGUGGAGUCAAAAGAUGAAACACCACCCUUUAUUUUUUUGAUAUCUAACCAUCAUCCAUUAUCUGGAUGUGGGACCCUGUAUGGUGGGUAGUUUGACUGGGGCGGUCGCCUCCUAAAGAGUAACGGAGGCGCGCGAUGGUAGGCUCAGGCUGGUCGGAAAUCAGCUUUAGAGUGCAAUGGCAUAAGCCUGCCUGACUGCGAGACGUACAUGUCGAGCAGAGUCGAAAGACGGUCAUAGUGAUCCGGUGGUUCCGCGUGGAAGGGCCAUCGCUCAACGGAUAAAAGGUACGCCGGGGAUAACAGGCU
rnacentral:rRNA from 1 species